AGCUUGCGUACCAUUAGCUAGUGGUGGGUAAAGGCCCACCAGGCACGAUGGUUAGCGGGUCUGAGAGGAUGAUCCGCCACACUGGAACUGAAACACGGACCAG
rnacentral:rRNA from 1 species